rfam:Oryza sativa Japonica Group DNA, chromosome 11, cultivar: Nipponbare, complete sequence.
AAUAAGUACAAUCAUAAGUUUCCGUAUACAACUUUAAUCGUUCGUCUUAUUUAAAAUUUUUUUAUGAUUAGUAAGUAUUUUUUUAUAUUAGAUUAUAAAAUAUGAAUAGAACUUUAUGCAUGAUUUAUGUUUUUAGAUUUUUUUUUCUAAAAAAUUAAAUAAGAUGGACGAUUAAAGUUGUGCACAGAAACUCAUGGUAGCACUUAUU